UGUACAUUCCCUUUUAUGAGCUUAUGACAUGCAAUGACAUGUUGGCCACAUUAGGCAGGUGGCCUCAAUACAGUGUUUAGCCAAAUACAGGUGAAAUAAUUGUAACCUUUUGAAAGAAUUUAAUGCUGGGAUGCUGUAGAGGACAUCAAGCAAGUGUUCAUGGACUCAUGGACUAGAUUGGGAAGACCAAGGACAGCAAGAUCAGAGGACAAUCGCUGCAGUUCGUCAGCAGUUGAUCGACCAUCAACAUGACAAAAGUGCAAGACGGAAUGGAGUUGGGCUCAGCCCAGCCUCUUUCAAUCGGAUAAACACGACUUGACCUUCAUCUUCAUCCGUAUAGAGGAAUUUCGAAUUACCACCGUCUCCGCAUUUCCACAUUGAAACCGAGGGUCUCUGUGGCACGCAUUCUGCACGUUCUGUUCCUCACAUUGCAGGCAGACAAUGGCUAAUCUCACAGAGAAGAUGACAUUCCAGGAGCAAAACGGGAUGUUUCUGUGCCUGCUCUUCAAAAAGUAAAAUGUGAAGACCGAAGACCGAAGUUUUGACUUAAAUGCCGUGGAGAUUCUUGCAAGGCCAAGGCGCAGAUGAUAGAGGAUCCAACAGCUUGUCCUUAGACAUGGAAAUGAGUCUACAAUCGUUGAUCCCACUCCAGAUGAGCAUUGGGAGAGUCUCUAGUGCAGGGUCAGCUGGCAUUAACUGGAGCAGAAUAGUGUGACUUUGUUGUUUACACACACAAAGGUUUAAUCAUUCAACGAACACCUUUUGAAUUAACAUUUUGGAAUAUCCUUUACAAAAAAAAAAUGCAGAAGUUUAUUUUGGCUUUUACAUCAAAGUGGCUAUUGAACAAUUCUAAUCUAUUGUCU